rnacentral:rRNA from 1 species
AAACUUUCAACAACGGAUCUCUUGGUUCUGGCAUCGAUGAAGAACGCAGCAAAAUGCGAUAAGUAAUGUGAAUUGCAGAAUUCAGUGAAUCAUCGAAUCCUUGAACGCACAUUGCGCCCGCCAGUAUUCUGGCGGGCAUGCCUGUUCGAGCGUCAUUU